CUCAUCGCAGUGUGAUGAAACAAAUGUUGGUAGGGACAUCUGACUACUGUGAGGAAACGCCAACUUUCUGACCGCGUGGG